AUUUCUGAAGUGACGCCUACCUAUAAAGCAUAAAACCCAAGCGCGUUGCUUCCUCUGAUCCGAAACGAACCUCAACAACGCUGAACGCAGAAAGGGGAAAAAGGGGAUUAGGGUUUAGGAAGCAGCGACAACAAUGGAUUUCACAGCGGAGAAGAAGGAAUCAGAGAGCAAAACCGAAAAUGCUCAUCCAACAACGUUAGAUUCUUCUUCUCAAUUGGCAUCGACACUUGAUUCCAACAACAAAGAAAUCGAAGAACGACAAGCUCGUGAACUCAAAGCCGAUCUUCACCCCCUCAAGGGGAGGAAAGGGUAAGGGCCAGGGUGGCUCUGGAGCAAAUGGGACUAUAACUGGGAAGGCUUGCCCCAAAGGGUUGUACGGUACCUUUUGUGAGUAGUACACUCUGUUUUGAAGUAUUAACUCUAUAAAGCUAGUGGAGCAAUUAGAGACAUCUAAAGAAGCAAAAGCUAGAGGAGCUAACUCAUUUCACGACUCUAAGGAGGUUUUCCUCUCCUAUCACUUCAAUCUUCAGAGCGCCGACACAAUUGAAGCUAGAUGUACGCUCCACAGCUUCAAGAGCUACACGAAGCUCGAUGCUGUCGAAAAUGACGAUUUCUCUUCCACCGGCGCCUUCAAUCCUGAUAGAGUUGGUGUGUGAGUCCAUCACUGCUGCACUAAAUUUGAAAUAUAAAUUGUUCCUUUUUGGUAGAUUCUCUUAUAAUCUCUGUUGCGCUAAAUUCGAAAUAUAAAUUGUUUUUGUUUUUGGUAGAAUUUCGUUUUGCAAAUGGAAUUUGUGUCUUUAUUUUAUUCAGUAGCCAUAUAUGAUUAGCAAUUAAUUUAGAGUGUGUUUUGGUUAAUGGCUCAGGUUAUUGUGACUGUUCUAAAAUAUGUAGUGCCUAAUAUAUAUGUUAUUAGGAUUUUUAUUUGUUUGUGAAGUUGAAGAUAGUGGAAAACAGGAAUCUCUGGAGGCAUUGACCUCGCAGGUAAAUAAAUCGGCUCGCUUUGCAAGAUUCGCCCCAAGCUCAAGAUAUUGAUAAAAGAAUUCGUGUUCUCAAAAAGAAGAUAAGUGACAUGGUUGCUAUUGCAAAAAUUAUGAAAGCCACUUUGGUUUUGCCUACAUUGGAUCAUGAUUCCUUUUGGACAGAUUCUAGGUUGAUAAAAGUCUGAUCACAGCGGGAUAAAAGUCACUGAAAAGCAGAAGAAGGUACGUAUUUUUCUCAAGUUUGAAUUUUCACACUCUCCUUCUCUCUGUUUCUGGAUACGUAUGAAGAAUUAGUAAAGCUGAUUCCUGCCUGAUUCCUAUUGUUUUUUGGUGCAAAAUUGAAAAAUACUUUCAUAUUAGUGAUAUUACUUUUAAGACUAGAAGUCUAGAAUGAAUGGCUUUGUCGUUGUUAAUGAUAUCCUUUCAUUAUUUCUCCAAGUGAAUUGAGUUGCAAAUUUUAGCAAUUAAUAACUAAACUUGUAAACUUGAAUGAUUUCAUUAACGAAGCUCUGAAAUAUAAAUUAGUGUUUAUUCA